CCGCCCUCGCCCGCAGCGCGACACACAAUACUCGCCGGAAACGGAAGCCGCGCCGAGGGGCUCGAGUCAGUGGAAGCCGGGUAUCGGCGGGCGGCCGCGGGAGAGCUUAGCCGUACCUGCAAAAGGCCGGAGGCCAGAGACUAAUUGCAGCAUUCAAGAUGCAUGAUGAUGAAAUUACCAUUUAAUUGUGUCUGCAUUUCUUCUGGAAAAGAAGUUUUGAAUACACACAAAUCUAGAACAAAGAGUCUCAACAAGUAGUUAACAAGAUGGUUUCAGGCCCAAGAUGACACAUUUGGUGAAUUUUAGAAGACCACCCCUCCCUUUGAAGUUUUUCUAUGUUGCUGCACUGAGAAUGCAUCACUGUGUUCAGUCAGCUGGAUAAUGCACAUGGAGUUUGGAUGUUGCUGCCUGCUUUUGACUCUCAUAACAUAUCUACUCACCUGAAAACCCAGGAAUUUUCUGGGGUUGAUAUUCUGAUACAUGCUUCAUCAAGCUUGGAUCUUCUACCCUCUGAGGAUGAUUUGUUACAGCCUCUGGCUGCAUGUACUUGUGGACGGAAGGUAU